rnacentral:rRNA from 1 species
AAUAGAUACCCGGGUAGUCCACGCGGUAAACGAUGUCAACUAGCCGUUGGGGGUCUUCGUGCCCUCGGUGGCGUAGCUAAUGCGCUAAGUUGACCGCCUGGGGAGUACGGUCGCAAGAUUAAAACUCAAAUGAAUUGACGGGGGCCCGCACAAGCGGUGGAGCAUGUGGUUUAAUUCGACGCAACGCGAAGAACCUUACCAGGUCUUGACAUCCAGAGAACUUUCCAGAGAUGGAUUGGUGCCUUCGGGAACUCUGAGACAGGUGCUGCAUGGCUGUCGUCAGCUCGUGUCGUGAGAUGUUGGGUUAAGUCCCGUAACGAGCGCAACCCUUAUCCUUAUUUGCCAGCGGGUUAUGCCGGGAACGUUUAAGGAGACUGCCGGUGACAAACCGGAGGAAGGUGGGGAGUGACGUCAAGUCAUCAUGGCCCUUACGACCUGGGCUACACACGUGCUACAAUGGCGCGCACAGAGGGCCGCAACCCCGCGAGGGUGAGCAAGUCCCACAAAACGCGUCGUAGUCCGGAUUGGAGUCUGCAACUCGACU